UACGAAGGGGGCUAGCGUUGUUCGGAAUCACUGGGCGUAAAGGGCGCGUAGGCGGCUUUAUAAGUCAGGGGUGAAAUCCUGGAGCUCAACUCCAGAACUGCCUUUGAUACUGAAGAUCUUGAGUUCGGGAGAGGUGAGUGGAACUGCGAGUGUAGAGGUGAAAUUCGUAGAUAUUCGCAAGAACACCAGUGGCGAAGGCGGCUCACUGGCCCGGUACUGACGCUGAGGUGCGAAAGCGUGGGGAGCAAACAGG
rnacentral:rRNA from 1 species